AGACCGAUAGCGAACAAGUACCGUGAGGGAAAGAUGAAAAGCACUUUGGAAAGAGAGUUAAACAGUACGUGAAAUUGUUGAAAGGGAAACGCUUGAAGUCAGUCGCGUCCGUCGAGACUCAGCCUUGCCUUUGGGCCUGGUGUAUUUCUUGGUGGACGGGUCAACAUCGAUUUUGAAUGGCAGAUAAAGGUCUGGGGAAUGUGGCACCUCCGGGUGUGUUAUAGCCCCUCUCCGUAUAUGCUGUUUGGGAUCGAGGAACGCAGCACGCCCUUGUGGCCGGGGUUUUACCCACGUACCGUGCUUAGGAUGUUGGCAUAAUGGCUUUAAGCGUCCCGUCUUGAAACACGGACCAAG
rnacentral:rRNA from 1 species